GUCGGUGUGAGGGUACACACCUCGGGAAA
rnacentral:sRNA from 1 species